AUUUGUACUUUGUCCCAACAACAACCAAAUCCACCCUGUACCACUAACAAAAUCUGCUGCAAUACAAAAAUCCACUUCUCUUCUCCUCUUAUUUUCUAAAAAUAAAAGUCCAGCUAGGUAGCUUCGAUGCAUCAUCAUCCUGCACAUUACCCAGAAUUCUCUGUGCUUUCAAACAGCUCUAAGGCAAAUAACAAAAUGGCGGACUUAAUGGAUGCUAUGAUAGCCCUUUUAUUUAGCUAUUUGAAAAUUUCACCGAGUCUCCUUGUUGGAUUUAGAACUACCAGCGCCAGUGUACGUUAUCUGGAUUUACAGUACGUGCGAUCAGGAAGAAACGAGACCUAGCCACUGUAAGUUGUUGAUUGGUCAGGUUGCCUGACGCAACGGCAUGUGACGCAAAACGAACACUCCUCAUUGGCUGGACAGAUGGAUAAGAGGACAUAGGUGCGUGUAGUAAAGUCACUACCCGGAACUUGGAUUUGGAAGCAAACGUCUCUGUUGGAAGUACUGAAGCCUGCUUCUGUUCAAGUACUCUACUUUCGAAAAGAUGAGUUCACAGACAAUGCUAUUGAGGUUGUGCCAUCUUCAUGGCUUGGACACACUUCUGAGCAUGGCAUGGUCUGCUACUGGACGACACACAAUGUGCGAUUGCAUGUUGUGAAGUGCCGAGCACCAAAUACAACUUGGGCCAAACAUCCCGUUAAGAAAACCUGGUAUGAAACAGAUUCAUACGCCAAAGCUGAACAGAAGUGUUUGCAAUUGAUGGAGUCCUCAAGUGUUGAGACAGAG